rnacentral:lncRNA from 1 species
CUCCACAUGUCGUCAUCACGCCAGCCCGGUCGGGCUUGCGGCAGAAGAUCGUGUAUUUUUGUCAAAUGGUCUGUUAUAUUUUUACAGAAUAUUGUGUACGAAUGAUUGUUCACAUUGCGUUGGUUAUUCGGCUAACAUCGACGAUCCUUCGGGGGAGGCAGGUGAGUGAGGAUCCCACACUGUGGGGAAGCCGCACACUCAAUGGUGUCUCCCACAAUGAGGGCAUUGGUGGAUGCAGUUUGGGCAGUGUGGAGCAUCGGGGCUUCAAUCUAUGACUACAUCCACACGAGUGCUAUGGAGGAACGCAUCCACUCACUGGAGAGUGCCAUAACCAUCCACCAGUGUGUCAUCGGCCUGCUGUCUGCUGGACUUGUAGCACUUUUCACCUAUAUUCUGCUAAGGAAGCACUGACUCAGGACUUUUACAAAGCCACAUAGACAACAGGGGAGACCAUGGUAACAUGUUUGUGUCAAGCUCACCUAAAAGGGAUUUUAACAUCUUCUUUAAAGCUUGUCUUUUACCUAAUCCAUGACUUAACUUUUCUGAUUCUCCCUAAUUUUUAUGACUUUGAAGUCAAUGUGAUCUGGUAAAAACAAAACAAAAAAUGCUACUAUUUUCCAUUAUGGCAAAAGGAAGGAUUCAGGGAUUGUACCUGUUUAAGGUUUUAAAUGUAAGCUGGUGAAAGCUACACAAACACAAAAAAUAACCACUGGAUCAGCAGGCAAUUUAACCUGUUUGCUGCUGUUGUAAAUGGAGUCAGCUUUAGUACAUGGGACUUUAAAACCAUAUUUAACUGAAUGGCUAAGGACAGCUUCAUGCUAACAUCUCACACAACCUUUUACCAAAUCAAUUGUUAUUUGUUAAUAAAAUAAAUCAGUGACAGAUUAAAUUCA